ensembl:snRNA U6 U6 spliceosomal RNA
GUGCUCGCUUCAGCAGCACAUAUACUAAAAUCGGAACGAUACAGAGAAGAUUAGCACGGCCCUUGUGCAAGGACGAUGCACAAAUUUGUGAAGCAUUCCAUAAUCUU